ACAGGGGGGGCAAGCGUUGUUCGGAAUUACUGGGCGUAAAGGGUUCGUAGGUGGCCACUUAAGUCAGACGUGAAAUCCCUCAGCUUAACUGGGGAACUGCGUCUGAUACUGAGUGGCUUGAGUGCAGGAGAGGGAUGCGGAAUUCCAGGUGUAGCGGUGAAAUGCGUAGAUAUCAAGAGGAACACCUGAGGCGAAGGCGGGUUGCUAGGCUGACACUGACGCUGAGGCGCGAAAGCCAGGGGAGCAAACGGGA
rnacentral:rRNA from 1 species